CCGGAGCCUGGGGUCUCUGGAGGGGGGACUCGGAGUAUCCGAGGAGGAGACUCCUGGAUGCUAACAGAGACCCCAGUCAGGAGCAGUCCGCGAGACGGUUAGUAACAGUGCUGGCCUUGCCCGGGCGCCGGAAAGUUCUGUGAGGCCCAGCAAGUCCUGACUUGGCACAGGGCCCAGCACAUGGCGCAGUAACAAUAUAAUGACCUUAUGGAGUCCCCCAGGAUACAGGGUCAAAGGAGAGCACAACCGUCGCAGUUUCAAGCCCAUGGGGCAGAGCCCGGGACACAGUGAGCGUACAAUAGACGUUAGCUGCCAUGGUCUCUUGAUUUCAAGCCCAGUGCAGGUGCAUGUGACUCGUGAAACUUCAGUGACAUCUCCUCUGUGCCAGACACUGAAGAUGGAGCAGCGAACAGCACUGACCCAACCUGCCCUCCUGUUGCCUACAGGCCAGAAGCGAUGUCUCGCUGUGUUACCCGGGCUGGAGUGCAGUGGCUACUUACAGGCAUGAUCAUAGCACACUGCAGUCUUGAACUCCUGGACUAAAGCAGUUCUCCUGCCUCAGCCUCCAGAGCAGCUGGGACUGCAGACACGCACCACAGACAGAGCCCAGCCUGAGUCAUUCUGAUUCUGUAACUGGCUUCCUCUCGGUGAGCUGGCUCACACCCUCCACCCCCAGCUGGAGAAGGAAAGAGGAUGCUCACCGUUCAUUCCUCAUGCAGGCCAUCGAUGGAAAUGUCAGAUAGUGCGAGUCCACGCUUGAACACCUCUGGGGUCCGCUCUGGGACUGACACUGGCAGAUUCAUCGAUGAGCUCCCGCCUGCCACCUCUGGGCCUGCAUUGCCGUGAUACGGCCAAGAGCCUGGGUCUUCAAUUCUCCAGACUUGCCGAAUGCACAGCGCAGGCCUUCUCGGCAACUGCAGACAAGCAGAGGCAGCACCUGGGCUCUGCCUGUGCCUGGUACAGUGAGGCAAGGGUGGGGGUAGGAAUGAGGGUCCUCUCCGUGCAAGGCGGAAAGAUAGAAGAACAAAAUUUCACCCUAACGUAGUGUCUUUAGACCAUGAAAUGCUGUGCUCCUGUUAGUCUGAUAUCAGGGGCUUGCAGCCUGGCAAAGGAAAAGAAAAACAGGCUGAGGCACGUGAUAGAAGACAGGCAGGGAUCCCACAAUCAUAACCAUGGCAAAGACCAGGAUCAAACAGGCCCACCAUCUCUGACCCCAAAUCCCUGGGCAGAUGGUUCCAGAACUCAGAAUUUUCCCAGUUUUAGAAAGAUGGGGCCAGGUGCAGUGGCUCACACCUGUAAUCCCAGCACUUUGGGAGGCCAAGGUGGGCGGAUCACCUGAGGUCAGGAGUUCGAGACCAGCCUGGCCAACAUGGUGAAACCCUGUCUCUA